UACGUAGGAUGCAAGCGUUGUCCGGAUUUAUUGGGCGUAAAGCGAACGUAGGCGGCUUCUUAAGUUUGGUCUUAAAGACCGGGGCUCAACCCCGGGAAUGGACUGAAUACUGGGAGGCUAGAGGAUGUCAGAGGAAAGUGGAAUUCCUAGUGUAGCGGUGAAAUGCGUAGAUAUUAGGAGGAACACCGGUGGCGAAGGCGGAUCUCUGGGCCUUACCUGACGCUGAGGCGCGAAAGCUAGGGGAGCGAACAGG
rnacentral:rRNA from 1 species